rnacentral:rRNA from 1 species
AGUGGAUGGGGAGCAACCUAGUUGUGCGUGUGUAAAGGUAGUGCCAAGAAAAGCGGUGAUCAUGAUGAAAAUCAAUUCCCGGUACCCGAAACCGACACAGGUGGGCAAGUAGAGAAUACUAAGGGGCGCGAGGUAACUCUCUCCAAGGAACUCGGCAAAAUGACCCCGUAACUUAGGGAGAAGGGGUGCCACCGAGAGGUGGUCGCAGUGAUGAGGCCCAGGCGACUGUUUAGCAAAAACAUAGGUCUCUGCAAACUCGAAAGAGGAGGUAUAGGGGCUGACGCCUGCCCAGUGCCGGAAGGUUAAAGAAGUUGGUCAGUCUUAGGAUGAAGCUAGCGACUGAAGCCCCGGUGAACGGCGGCCGUAACUAUAACGGUCCUAAGGUAGCGAAAUUCCUUGUCGGGUAAGUUCCGACCCGCACGAAAGGCGUAACGAUCUGGGCGCUGUCUCGGAGAGAGGCUCGGCGAAAUAGGAUUGUCUGUGAAGAUACGGACUACCUGCAUUUGGACAGAAAGACCCUAUGAAGCUUUACUAUAGCCUGGAAUUGUGUUCGGGCUUCCUGUGCGCAGGAUAGGUGGGAGGCGAAGAAGGUAUUCUUGUGGGGAUACUGGAGCCAACGGUGAGAUACCACUCUCAGGAGGCUAGAAUUCUAACUUAAUUAAGGACAGUUUCAGGUGGGUAGUUUGACUGGGGCGGUCGCCUCCAAAAAGGUAACGGAGGCGUACAAAGGUUCCCUCAGACUGGUUGGAAAUCAGUCGCAGAGUGCAAAGGCAGAAGGGAGCUUGACUGCGAGAAGUACAGUUCGAGCAGGGUGGAAACACGGUCUUAGUGAUCCGACGGUGCUGUGUGGAAGGGCCGUCGCUCAACGGAUAAAAGUUACUCUAGGAUAACAGGCUGAUCUCCCCCAAGAGUUCACAUCGACGGGGAGGUUUGGCACCUCGAUGUCGGCUCAUCGCAACCUGGGGCGGAAGUACGUCCCAAGGGUUGGGCUGUUCGCCCAUUAAAGCGGUACGUGAGCUGGGUUCAGAACGUCGUGAGACAGUUCGGUCCAUAUCCGAUGUAGGCGUGAGAAUAUUGAGAGGAGCCUUCCUUAGUACGAGAGGACCGGGAAGGACGCACCGCUGGUGUACCUGUUAUGAUGCCAAUUGUAAACGCAGGGUAGCCAAGUGCGGAGAGGAUAACCGCUGAAAGCAUCUAAGUGGGAAGCCCACCUCAAGAUGAGUAUUCUGGUGUAAGGUCACGGGAAGACGACCCGUAAAUAGGCACGAGGUGGAAGUGCAGAGAUGUAUGAAGCCGAAGUGUACUAAUAGACCGUCGGCUUGACC